rnacentral:rRNA from 1 species
AGAGUUUGAUCCUGGCUCAGGAUGAACGCUAGCGACAGGCUUAACACAUGCAAGUCGAGGGGCAGCAUAGAAGUAGCAAUACUUUGGUGGCGACCGGCGCACGGGUGAGUAACGCGUAUGCAACCUACCUAUCAGAGGGGAAUAACCCGGCGAAAGUCGGACUAAUACCGCAUAAAACAGGGGCACCGCAUGGUGGUAUUUGUUAAAGAAAUUCGCUGAUAGAUGGGCAUGCGUUCCAUUAGGUAGUUGGUGAGGUAACGGCUCACCAAGCCGACGAUGGAUAGGGGAACUGAGAGGUUGGUCCCCCACACUGGUACUGAGACACGGACCAGACUCCUACGGGAGGCAGCAGUGAGGAAUAUUGGUCMAUGGGCGGGAGCCUGAACCAGCCAAGUCGCGUGRARGAAGAAGGAUCUAUGGGUUCGUAACUUCUUUUGSMAGGGAAUAAARUGSMAGACGUGUCCUGKUUUUGKAUGKACCCUGRGAAUAGRWYSGGCUAACUYCGUGGCCAGCAGCGCGUUAUACGGAGGAUCCGAGCSGUWUCCGRAUUWWUUGGGUUUAAGGGKGCGUWAGKGGUUUGAWAAGUCAGCGGUGAA